GGCCUGACAGGUUCCAGAUGUGCUUCAAGGGAAUGUGUUUUUGGCUGGGAAUUGAGCAAGGUAAGGAAAUAUCUGUUUAUGACACUUUUGAUGACCCAGAAGGCAGGAGAGUGAUCAUUUCUUUCGAUACAAGUCGCGAGGUAUUUCAUGGUAUACCCGAACCAUCUGAGCUCCAACGAUUACCCCUGGGGCGUGACCUUGAUUUGAAGCUUAUUGUGUGGAAUGAAUCACUUUCUUAUGGUUCACAAUGAUGGACGCGUAGUUUGCUUUAAUCUUUGUACGAAAAAGCUUACAUAUAUUCCCACUGAAACAUGAGGUGAGUUUGUUGGUUGUGUGAAUAGCAUAGUUUCGGUCAUGGGACGCAACCACAAGCCUGAGAGCAUAGAGAAUAAUUGCUCAGACAGAUGAAGACUCGAUGGUGGCGGUAGAAGGGAAGAGGGAAAGCUGCAGGAGGCGGUACUCAUAUUCCGUUUGGGCCAUUCCACUGGCUGAUGUUUCAAGGGCCUCUGGGCAGAGUUUGGUGGGCCGGAGAUUAGCCUCACAUCCCCAUAUUGGGAUCCACCCAUAUUAUGAGUUGCGAGGACGCUCUUAACAAGUUUAGAUCUCCCUUACGGAUGAUUUCAUUGCUAAAGUUGUUCAGGUGGUUACUAGGAAUUACUAUCACCAAUGUGUUUCCUUGUUGAUGGAUCAAGGGGUAUAUAUUUUCCCGAUCGCUUGCUAAUUGCUAUUCAUUUUCUUCAUGUUUUCUUCUGUUUUGUUUCCUUUUCCUCUUUCUCAUUUUGGUCUCUUAAGCUGGGAUAGACUCACUAAUUAUCAAAUUUUAUGUUCUUAGUUAUUCCAAAGUGCCAAAACUACAUUUCGGUUUCUACAACAGUAAGUUGUUGUUUAUGUUAACCUUUGAGCUGGUGUUUUUUUGUUUUCACGAAAGCUUCUUUCUUAAUUUCUUCUUGAUGUUUACGGGAAUGUUCAUAUGUAAUCUGUCUGUCUGCAAUAUUUGAUGGAUGCAGGUUCAAUGAAACAUAAUUAUAUAAGAUCCUGCCAAAAUUAGAUCAACUUCAACUUUAUCCAUGCCUUGCAAAUUGAGCUUCAGAACACGAGUCGGAUUGCAAAUGAUGGCAAAAUGUUUGAAAGUGGAGAAAAUUUCGGAGAUUUUCUAUUGAAAGAUCCAUCAUUUCUUAGUCUUGCGGAGGAGAUUUUUUAUCUUAACAUGAACAGCUCUACAAUCUAUUCAACUCUCAUAGUCUCACUAUCUCCAAAUGGUAAAGGCCAAGAGACUCAGGUGUCCGGCUAAAUGUUACCUGAACAAGUAGAUGAUGAAUAAUCAAGAGACAAAGAGAGGCGCGUAAGAGGAUCUUCGUCCAUUGGGUCGGAUAUCUGAUCUCCUCUAUCACAGACUGCCGGACGUUGUGGCUUCCAAUGAUGAAUAGAUAAAGAAAGACACGUACGAAGAUCUUCGUCCAUUGGGUCAGAUAUCUGAUCUCCUCUGUCGUGACCGCCGAACCCUGUGGCUUCCAAUGAUGAGACUGAGAAAGGCGCGUAAGAAAAUCUUCCUCCAUUGGGUCGGCUAUCUGAUCUCCUCUGUCAUUGACUGCCGAACCCUGUGGCUGGAAGAGUACUGAGAGAUUCUCAGAACGAGUUUGAGGCUGAAUAUGAUGGCCUGCAGGAAAAGUAUUAGAAGACAAGGAAAAAUGUGAACGCGCAAGGCUGAGAGGACCAUGAUCAUGCACUGCUAUAGUACUACCGAUGUACUUACUGAGAUCAUAAUCAUAAGAUGGCUCAGAAUUAUCAGAUGACUUCUCAUAGAACCGAGCUGGAUGUUGGUCAAAAACAUAACUAGCUUGGUCCAAAUCAUGCGUAUUUUCCUUCAUAGGUUUGUUCCACACUAGAUUAACCAUUGUUCUAAUUGAUGGCCUAAAACAAGAAUUUACUGAAAGUUGAACUUCAACUUUAUCCCCACUUUGCAAUUUCAGCUUAUCGUUCGAUAGUUGUCCUUGCCAAAGUAUAGGCGUAUUCCCAUAUAUGCUGCAUAAGUAAGCCUGCAACUUUGUACACUUGGUAUUAUUUAUAACAGUAAUGCCAAAUUUACCUCCAAGUACAUGUUUUAUCAAGAAGCACAGAGUCAACCCUUCAAAAGUACAACCAUCAUUCGGGGGAAUAUCAAAACUGACUGUACUGCUCUGGUUAACAAACUCAAACCAAUCAGGAACAAAAUUCCCAGAGAGUAAAACGCCACCAAAUCCGCACAGAGUCCAUCCCUACAUAUACAAUGCAAGUGUCAUACACACAUACAUACAUACACAUGUAAACGUGCGUUUGUGUGUGCAUGUGCACGAUAGGAAGGCAAUGAGAGAGAGAGAGUGUGAGGUACCUGUAGGAUGUUCUUCACAAAAUCAGUUGUGAGAUUGGUGCAAUCCCUCAUAUCAAUCAAUGUCAUGAAGUUUAAUGACUUAUCCAAGCCUGGAAUCUCAGUGAGUUUGUGCGAAUCUCUUACACUCAACUCUGUCAUCUUUGACAUUUCCGAAAAAUCGGGCAUUGUUUCCAAUGCAUGGCAAUUAUCGGCAUACAGAAAAUUCAAAUUUGUUGGUAAAUCAGGGAUUGUACGAAGGUUAAAGCAGUUAUUUAAACUCAAUGUUUCAAGCUUUGUAAGACCACUUAGGCUGGGUAGGGUAUGAAAAUCAUUCCCUUGAAGAUCCAAAACUUGUAAAGAAAUUAGACUCCCAAGAUCCUGAGGGAUUGCAUCAUGUUCUAAUUCCGCACCAUCUAGGGAUAAAAGAAUGAGAUUCUUCAAUCUAACUGUGGAAGAUGGUAUUUGUGAUAUGGCUGUAUUAUCUGCUUCAAGUAUUCUCAAUGAUAUCAUCUCCCCUAAAUCCUCAUGCACUUCUCUGAAUUCUAAACAGCUAUUAAGAAGAAGAGUCUCAACAGAUUUCAACUUAUAGAAAUCCCUUGGAAGAGAACUAAGCUUAACGCAUUCGCUAAGGUUCACCAAAGAAAGUUUUUGAAGUUGACCAAUGGAGGGGUGAAUCUUGGACAAACUCCUACAAUUUUCCAGUAUCAACUCUUCAAGAUUUGGGACUUGUGAAAGGUCCGGUGAUUUAAUUAAAAAUAGGGAAUGACUGAGAUUCAGGAUUUUCAACCUCUCUAGCAACUGUUACAGAAAACCAAAGGAAAAUUGAAAUUAAUAUCCAAAAGGAAGAUGUCAUAAAAAAAAAAAGGAAAUCCAAAAACAAAUAGAAACAGAACAUCAUCAUGUGUAAUUGAUCGUACCUUAUAACCCUCCCAAACUUGUACCAGUUUGCUAUACUUCAUAUCUAAAAUAACUAGUCUUGGUUGAUCAAAAAAGUCAUAUGCUAUGGACUCUAAAGGGCAUCCUUCCCAACACAACCAUAUUAACUCUUUGGGAAGACGUUUGUAUUCUCCCUCGAGCUGAACAUAUUUGAGAUGAAGGAAUUUCAGUUUCUUCAUAUUGGCAAAUGCUUCUGUACUGAAACUAGGCAUGCUAGAGCUUAGAGUAAAAGGGAAAUUUAGAGCAAGUCCUUCAACUUCUUCAGUUCCCUGUUAACAAAAUGUGUAAGAAACGGAUUAUUUGCAUAUAUUAUUAUUCAUUUGGCAAAAUCACCUACGGUGAAUAUAUUUACACAUAAAUGUUGUUUAGUGUAUAAUAGACAUACGUAGGUUACAUAUAUGUUUUCAAGUAGGAUGCAUUAUGCAAAAUUUUAUUGGGAAUGUACUUACAGAUUUAUUUCUCAAGACUUCGGCGGCCUCUUGACGAUUCCACAACCUACUCCAUUUUUCAGGGUGACCAAGAGAUUUUUCAGAAACGAUUACUCUGGCCAUUUCUCGCAGCAAAUCAUGCAUAUUCAACUUGUUGUCUUCAACAGUUAUAAGGCAUCGUUCACGGAGGACACUGAUUCCUAUUGAUGCAAAAAGUCCACAUCCAUCUAAUACUUUUGUGACAUAAUUCUUGUCCAUUCCAAUAAAGAAACAAGAUAUGUCAAGAAAUAUAGCCUUCUCUGAAGGAUCUAGCCCGUCAAAGCUUAUUCUGAGUCGAUUUACAAUGUUUCCAUCUGGAUAUCUUCCCAAUUUCUCCAAUUGACUUUCCCACUCUUCCAACGAUCUUUUAAUCAAAAGAGAUCCUAAAACUUCAAGCGCUAGUGGUAAACCUCCACAGUAAGAAACAAAUUUUUCUGAAACUUCAAGAUAUCCUUGAUUAGGACAACUAUUUUUAAAGGCAUGCCAACUAAAUAGCUCAAGAGCUUCUUCUUCAUUCAUUUUCUUAGCCUGAAAUGUUUUGUUCACAUUUAGUAGUAGACGUUCAUCUCGUGUCGUUAUGACAAUUCUACUUCCAGGACCAAACCAAUCAUGACUUCCAACUAUUGCAUCCAGUUGUUCCUUUUUAUCAAUGUUGUCCACGAUGACAAGUAUCUUUCUAUGUCGAAAUUGUUGUUUUAUCAGACCUAUACCUUCGGCAACACAGCUUAUUUCAUGCUUCUUUUUCAAGAUGUCAGAAAUAAGUUUUUUUUGCACAUCAACCAGAUCAUGUUUACUUGUAGCAUCGCGAACGUCGGCAAGGAAACUUUUCAAUUCAAACUGAGGAUGAAUUUGGUUAUAAAUGGCUUUGGCAGCUGUUGUUUUACCCAAUCCACCCAUCCCCCAAAUUCCAACCAUAAGAACAUCAUUUGAUCCACCACUUGAAAGAUAACUGAUAAUAUCUUGAACGUGUGAAUUGAUUCCAACUAUGUGCUUGGCCACAUGUAAUUCGUUAGUGUUGGUGAGCCAUUCACAAAUAUUCUCAUCAAUAAUUUUUUUAAUGAACUCUGCUUCGCCCCUAAAAAUUGAAUUCGUAAGCAUUAGUGGGAAUCAAUGAAGGCUCGGUAGGAGAUAUCAGUACAUAAACAAUUUUCUUUCCUUCUUCCCUUCAUAAUAUAUAUAUAUAUAUAUAUAUAUAUAUAUAUAUAUAUAUAUAUAUAUAUAUAUAUAUAUAUAUCAGUACAUAAACAAUUUUCUUUCCUUCUUCCCUUCAUAAUAUAUAUAUAUAUAUAUAUAUAAUGAACUUGAAUAAAAGAAUUCAUUGAUAAAUAAAAGUUAGGCGUAUGAAUUAAACUCCAAUUACGGUUUAGGUUACUUAUGAGAGAUUAAGGUGUAUUCAUUAAGCAUGUGAAUGAAUGUUUAGAUUAUGUAAAAUGUUAAUUAAGCAUGUCAAUUAAUUGAGAGAUUAAGUCGUUCGCUAAAAUUAGCAGCUUCUGUGAAGGAUAAACUUGAGAGAUUAAGGUGUAUUAAUUAAGCAUGUUAAUUAGAGUAAUACAACUCAAAUCUUGAAAAGCAGCUGAAUGAUUACCCAUUGUUAGCGAUUUUAUGAUGGUGGCCAGACAAAUUUGCAGCCUUUGUGAGAGCCUCUCUCCACUGCCUUACCCUUUCUUGUUUAGCUUCACGUUUCUUGUCAUCUUUUUCUUCACGGAUGUCCUUUUCGUGCUUCUGAAAUGCUUCGGCUAAAUCUCCGUCCUGCUUCCUGACAUGCGAAGGAUCAACGUGAUAGAAUAUUGGUAAAACAUGUCGCCCCAGUUCGUCUGUACACUCCAUGAUCUUCACCAGCUCGUCAAGACACCAACUCGAAUCCGCAUAUCUCCUUGAGAAGAUAAUGAUAGAGAUCAUCGACUCUUCGAUUACCUUUAACAGUUCUUUUAUUUCUUCCCCUCUUUGUAGAUCGUCCUCAUCAAUAAAGACCCGGUAACCUCUGGCUUUUAAUGCCUCGUGGAGGUGGCUCGUGAAGCCAUAGCGUGUGUCCUCGCCCCUGAAGCUCAAGAAUACGUCGUACUUCCAGAGUUUGGACUUGGAGGAGGACGAAGAGGAGGCUUCGUGGGCUGUCAUGGAGGUAUCCACCGUUAUGGGCAUAGCAGUGGUUCAGAUCACAGACUGAAAAGAUGGCAACAACUGCGUUUGCGUUGCCGAAGGAUGAUACUUAAACAUAAGUCAAGAUCUUGAGUCAACAAAGGCAAAAGUUUAUAAUAUAAUAAUGUUGGCGUGUGGACCUGAUAUAAUGAUGAAACACGACAUACUGCCGAGCGGGAAGGUGCAGGGAAAGAGAGGAAAAGAGGAAAGAAAGAAACAUGAUAGGACAGAUUAGGGAUUUUUUUUUUUUUCACCAAUCCGAAUUUCGCAUUGAAGCACCUCUCCAACUCCGCCAACAACAGCCUCACCACUCGUGACCUCCUUUUCAAGAGAUUAGUAGUGCAGCGGCAGCAUGGGGAGGAGGAAACUGAACAAGUAUACCUGUUGCUUAAGUUAUGCAAAGACGAUGAUAAUAUCAAUGACGAGGAUAGCAAUAGCUACUCUCUUGUUGGUGUCGAGGAAAUCGUUUUUCCUCACUCUUUGAUUCAGAAGGUCGGACUCCCGGAACAACUGCAUAUUAUAGGCCACUGCAAUGGCAUUGUUUUACUAUAUAGUAAGAGUAGCUUUGUUUUAUGCAAUCCCGGAAUUGAGGAAUUCAUUUCAUUCGUGUUCCCGAUGAGCCAUGCUUUCCAAUGUGGCCCAGAUUAGGUUUGGACCUGCGGGAGGAUUACAAUUGGCCAUAACAUAUUGAUACUGGUUUUCAUCCUGGAUUUGGCUAUGAUACCAAAUCUAACGAGUACAAUUUUGUGGCCUUUACUACUUAUACUCAAGAGUCAGAUGACAUUAUGACACUUACUGUUUCACACAAAGCGGUAGCAUACAUACACCAUCAGUUGUGAUUCUUGGAAAGAGGUCGACACCGUUUCUUUAGAAGCUGAAACUACUUUGUUUUGGCCUGACGGGGUUCCUGAUGUGCUUCAAGGGAAUGUGUUUUUGGCUGGGAAUUGAGCAAGAUAAGGAAAUAUCUGUUUAUGACACUUUUGAUGACCCAGAAGGCGGGAGAGUGAUCAUUUCUUUUGAUACAAGUGACGAGGUAUUUCGUGGUAUACCCGAACCAUCUGAGUUCCAACGAUUACCCCUGGGGUGUCACCUUGAUUUGAAGCUUAUUGUGUGGAAUGAAUCAGUUUCUUAUGGUUCACAAUGAUGG
rnacentral:lncRNA from 1 species